rnacentral:lncRNA from 1 species
UUCAAACUUGAUUAGCAUUGGGACCUAAGUCCUCCAGGAUAAGAAUACCUGACCUCACCAGAUCUUGAACCUUCAUCUUCAGCUGAAAGCAACUGUCCACAUCAUGACCAGGAGCACCCGAGUGAUAGACACAAUGCUGUUCAGGCCUAUACCACCACCGAGGGUUGACAGGUAUGGGAGGCGGGUCUCUAGGAGUGAUCAAGUUCCGCUCUAUCAGAGUGGGAUACAGUUCGGCGUAGGACAUGGGGAUUGGAUCAAAAAUGAUCUUCUUCCUCUCAUUACUUGUACCAGCUUGAUUGUCAAUGGGAGGCUG